UUCAAUCCUUAAACUUAUUAAGACUUGUUUUAUGGCCUAAUAUAUGAUCUAUCAUGGAGAAUGUUCCAUGUGCAGUUGAGAAUAAUCUGUAUUCCGUUACUUUUGGAUGGAAUGUUUUGUAAAUGUCUGCUAAGUCCAUCUGGUCUAACUUAAGGCUAAUGUUUCCUUAUUGAUUUUAUGUCUGGAUGAUCUAGCCAUUGAUGAAAGUGGAAUAUUAAAGUCCCCCAUUAUUGUAUUGCAAUAUUGUAUUGCAUUAUUUUAUAGCAAUCUAUUUCUCCCUUAGGUCUUUUAGCAUUUGCUUUAGGUAUUUAGGUGCUCCUAUGUUGGGUACAUAAAUAUUUACAAAUGUUAUAUCCUCCUGUUGGAUUGAACCCUUUAUAUAAUCCCCUUCUUUGUUUCUUAUUACAGUUUUUGUCUUAAACUCUAUUUUGUCUGAUAAAAGUAUAGCUAUCCCAGCUUUCUUUUGAUUUCCUUUUCCAUGUGUUAUCUUUUUCCAUCUUUUCACAUUCAGUCUGCAUGUGUCCUUACAUCUGAAGUGAGUCUCUUGCAGGUAGCAUAUAAAUUUUUUUUCUUCCAUUCAGCCAAUCUAUGUCUUUUGAUUGGAGAAUUUGGUCCAUUAACAUUUACAGUAGUUAUGAUAUGUACGUACUUGUUGCCAUUUUGUUAAGUGUUUUCUGGCUAUUUUGUAUUUCCUUUGUUCCUUCUCUUGCUCUCUUCAUUUGUAAUUUGAUGAUUUUCUGAAGCAAUGUGCUUAGAUUCCUUUACCUUUUGGCUAUCUACUAAAGGUUUUUGCUUUGUGGUUACCAUGACGCUUACAUAAAACAAUUUAUAUUUAUAACAGUUUAAGUUGAUAAUAACUUAAGUUUGAAUGCAUUCUAAAGCUCUACAUUUUUACUUUCCCACCACAUUUUAUAUUUUUGAUAUCAAAAUUUACAUCUUUUUAUCUUGUGUAUCCAUUAACAAAUCAUUAUAAUUAUAGUUAUUUGUACUACUUUUAUCUUUUAACCUUCAUGCUAGCUUUAUAAGUGAUUGACCCACAACAUUUAUAGUGUUAGAUUAUUCUGAAUUUUACUAUAUAUUGACUUUUACCAGUGAGAUUUAUACUUUCAUAUGUUUUCCUGCUACUAAUUAGUGCCAUUUUGUUUCAGCUUAAAGAAGUCCUGUUAACAUUUCUUGUAAGACAGGUUUAGUGGUGAUGAUCUCCUUGAGCUUUUCCUUGUCUAGAAAACUCUUUAUCUCUCCUUUAAUUCUGAAGGACAACUUUGUUGUGGAGAGUAUUCUUGGUUGCAGUUUUUUUUUCUUUCAGCCCUUUGAAUAUAUGGUGCCACUCUCUUCUGGCCUGCAAAGUUUCUGCUGAAAAAUCUACUGAUAGUCUUAUGUGGGUUACCUUGGACAUAACAAGCUGUUUUUCUCUUGCUGCUUUUAAGAUUCUCUCCUUGUCUUAAACUCUUGACAAUUUAAUUAUUAUGUAUCCUGGUGUGGGUCUUUUGGGGCUUAUCUUUGGAACUCUCUUGGCUUCCUUGAACUGGAUGUCUGUUUCCUUCCCCACGUUAGGGAAGGUUUCAGCCAUUAUUUCUUCAGUGAAGUCUUCUGCCCCUUUCUUUCUCACUUCUCCUCUGGGAGCCCUAAAAUCUGAAUGUUGGUCCUCUUGAUAUUGUCCCAUCAGUCCCUUUUGUCAUCUUCAACCUUCUUCAUUCUUGUUUUCUUUUUGCUACUCUGAUUGGGUGAGUUCCAACUGCCCUGUAUUGGAGUUCACUGAUCCUUUCUUCUGCUUCAUGUAGCCUGCUGUUGAACCCCUCAAGUGUAUUUUCAGUACAGUUAUUGUAGUCUUCAGUUCUAUGAUUUCUUUUGGUACUUUCUUAUAUUUUCCAUCCCUGUUGAAAUUCUCACUUUGUUCAUUCAUUCUUCUCCUAAGCACAGUGAGCAUCUUUAUGACCAUAAUUUUGAAGUCUUAUCAGCUAAAUCACUUAUCUUCAUGUCAUUAAGGUCUUUUUCUGAGGUUUUAUCUUGUUCUUUCUUUUGGAACAUAGUCCUCUGUUUCUUCAUUUUCCUUGACUCUCUGUGUUGGUUUCUAUGUAUUAGAUAAAACGGCCACCUCUCCUAGUCUUGAAGGAGUGGCCUCAUGUAGGAGAUGAACUUUGUUGCUGAACCCUGCCCUAGCUCUUGGUUGUGUCUCAAACCUUUGUGAUUGUCCAGACUAUCUACUUUAUUCUUAGUGGCUCCCAGCAGUUGAGGCCUGUCAGUGUCCCAAAUGAGAGGACCUAUGUCAGCAGGCUGAUUGGAAGCUGGACCCCCAGGCAGCAGGUUUUAAAGAUAUAUGUAAAUAUAUCUCUUCAAGAGAAGGCUGGGAGAUGGGCAUCUUUCUCUGCUCCCUCUGCACUGAGCCUUGGGUAGCAGCCAGUGAAGAAGUGUUUCUUUGUUUGCUACCAUCCUGUUGAAGCUGUGGGCACAAGCCCUACUGGCUACCAGAGCCAGGCUAUCAAGGAAUGUGUCCUCUGGACAGCAUACACAAAAGCUGGGCCCAGGCAUGUAUACAAUCUCCUUUCUUGGAGACACCAAUGACCUAGGGCAGGGCAGAGGGCGAGCUUGAAGGUGGCACUGACCAGCCUCCCUGGUCUCUGGAGAGGAUUGCAAUCAGCCCCUAGACACGAGUUUAAUUAGAAGUCUGCCCUUCAGGCUGGAGCUGUGGAGAUCAGCUGAAAGGCCCCUUUCACAGAAAGACUGGGGGUGAGUGUCAGUCUGCUCUGUGCCCUGGAGGCAGCUGGCUAAGAACUGUCUCUCUGUUUGUUCCAUCCCAUGGGACCUAUGAACACAAACCCCCCUGGCCCCCGGAGCCAGGGGGUUGAGGGGCAUCCCCGGGCAGCAGCCACAAAAACCAGGGCACCAGAUGUAAAAACCAGGAACCCAGAUGUGAAAACUGGGGCACCAGAUGUUACAGCUCCUCUCUGGGAGGUACAUGCACUCUGGAGCAUGGCAGAGGGCAGUGUGCGGACAGUGCCUGCCCUUCAGGUCUCCGGAAAGGAUUACAGUCUCCUCGGAUGUGUGCUAUUAGGAGCCUGCCCCUCAGGCUGCAGCUAUGAAGAUGGACUGAUAGGCCUCCUUCCUGGAGAGACUGGGCCCUCAGUCUGCUGCCUCUGCUGUGCCUGGGGUGGUGGCUGUUUAAAACCCUUUCUCCAUUCGUUAUAGUCCUGUGGGGCCCACGAGUGUCAGCCCCACUGGUCAGCAGAGGCGAGCAAUCAAGAGAUGUCCCCUGGGUGGCAGCUGUGAAAAUUGGGGGGUCAGAUGAGGGUACAAGCUCCCCUCCGGCAGAUACCGGCAGCCUGGAGCGAGGCAAAGAGAGCAAAGAUGGCCCCGCCGGCCUCCAAGCCCCCAGAUGUGGAUUAAAUUAGAAGCCUGCCCCUCAGGCCGAUGCCUGAAGAUAAACAAGCCUCUUUCACAGAAAGUCUGGGCCCUUUUCAGUCGCUGUGUCUGUGCGGGGCCCUGGGGAGGGUGAGUAAGUUCAUGCUGCCCCUUCAAGAAUGGUUUCUCAGGUCACUAUAGCCUCAUGGGUCUUGUAGAGGCCAGCCCCAUCGAUUUUCAAAGCUAGAUGUUUUGGGGGCUCAUCUCCCAGGUGCAAGUCUUGAAAGUAGGGGUGCCAGCUGUGGUGUUCAGACCGUUCGCUCCUCGGGGAGCAGCCUGGGAUGGGAGUUCCCUCCUGAUUGUGGGUCACCACGCUGGGGGAGGGGUGUAUGGUGAGACUGUGUCUCAGCCUCUCCUACCCUUUGAGGUGGGUUUUUUCUCACUCACCCAAUGUAUAGGAGUUAUUUAGCUAGUUAUGGGGUUUUCCCAGAGGAAACUCUUCCAUUUACAGCUGGCAAUUUCAUGUGUCCAUGGGAGGAGGUGAGUUCAGGAUCCUCCUAUGUGGCCAUCUUGAACUGCAACUUCAAAAUUAAUAGCUUUUGUUCUUCAAAAGACACCAUUAAGAAACUGAAAAGAGGGCUUCCCUGGUGGUGCAGUGGUUGAGAAUCCACCUGCCGAUGCAGGGGACACGGGUUCGUGCCCCGGUCUGGGAGGAUCCCACAUGCCGCGGAGCGGCUGGGCCCGUGAGCCAUGGCCGCUGAUCCUGUGCGUCCGGAGCCUGUGCUCCGCAACGGGAGAGGCCACAGAAGUGAGAGGCCCGCGUACCAAAAAAAAAAAAAAGAAAGUGAAAAGACAACCCACAGAAUGGGAGAAAAUAUUUGCAAAUCAUAUAUUUGAUAGGAAACUUGUAUCCAGAAUAGAGAAGUAAUUCCUAAAAUUCAACAAUAAAAAACAAAUAACCUAAUUAAAAAUAGGCAAAGGAUUUACAUAGUCUUUUCUCCAGGGUGGGAAAAAAAACCAAGCGGCUAAUAAGCACACGGUGUUCUGGAAACCUGGAUCAAAACUGCAAUGAGAGGCCACUUCAUUCCCACUACGAUGUGCAAAAAGACAUAAAAAGUACUAGCAAGGAUAUGGACAAAUUGGAACUCUCAUGCAUUGCUGGUGGGAAUGUCAAAUGUUGUAGCCACUUUGGAAGACAGUUUUGCAGUUCCUCAAAAAGUUAAAUAUAGAAUUAUAAAUAUGGCUCAGAAAUUCCACUCCCUGGUAAAUACUCAAAAGAUCUGAAAACAGGUACUCAGACAAAUACUUGUACAUAAAUGUUCAUAGCAACACUAUUCAUAAUAGCCCAAAAGUGACAAUAACCCAUCAACACAUGAAUGCAUAAAGAAAAUGUAGUCUAUCCAUAUGGUGAAAUAUCAUUCAUCCAUAAAAAAGAAUGAAGCACUGACACACGCUAUAAUGUGGAUGAAUCUUGAAAACCUUACACUAAGUGAAAGAAUCCAAACACAAAGGUCACAUAUUGUAUGAUUCCGUUUAUAUGAAAUAUCCAGAAUAGAUAAAUCUGUAGAAACAGAAAGCAGAUAGGUGGUUUCCAGGAGCUGAGCUGGGAGUGGGUAAUGGAGGAGGAGCUGCUUCCUGGGUGAGGGGUUUUAUUUUGGGGUGAUGACAAUGUUUUGGAGCUAAACAGAGAUGGUGGUUGCACAACAUUGUGCAUGUACUAAAUGCCACUGAACUGUUCGCUUUCAGAUGGUUAAUUUGAUGUCAUGUCAAUUUCAUCUCAAUAGGAAAACUUAGGAUAGUGAUUACCCAUGGGGGGUAUAGUGACUGAAGUGGGCCUCUGAGGGGCUUCUGGGUUGCUGGUAAUGCUGUUCCUUAGUCAGGGUGUGGAACACACAAGUGAAUUCAGAAUGUGAAAAUUCGUUGAGCUGUAUACUUAAAAUCUGACACUUUGCUGGAUAUAUAUCAUACAUCUAUAAAAAGCCAAAAUGUGGCUUCCCUGGUGGCGCAGUGGUUGAGAAUCUGCCUGCCGAUGCAGGGGGACACGGGUUCGAGCCCUGGCCCGGGAAGAUCCCACAUGCCGCGGAGCAACUGGGCCCGUGAGCCACAACUACUGAGCCUGCGCGUCUGGAGCCUGUGCUCCGCAACAAGAGAGGCCGCGACGGUGAGAGGCCCGCGCACCGCGAUGAAGAGUGGCCCCCGCUCGCCGCAACUAGAUAAAGCCCUCGCACAGAAGUGAAGACCCAACGCAGCCAAAAAUAAAUAAAUAAAUAAAUUUAUUUAUUUUUUUAAAGCCAAAAUGAAAAGAAAAAAUGCCCCAGACAAUGCCUGGGGCAUCAAAGAGGUCAACACCCCGACACCGACCUCACGGGCCUGCCUACCUGCCUUACUGCUUUCAGAGGCACAGUCUGGGGAGGGAAGGGUGUAGCCCCAUCUUCUCACCAGUAGCUGAUCUGAUCUUAAGAGGCUUCCAUUGCCCACACUGGAGACCUCACAGACCACAGCUCAGCCCUCAAAGACGACUCAGCGGCUGAGUCCUCAUAAACAUGCACCAGGUGAUGCAGUGAGGGAGGAUUUUAUGAGAAACCCCAUGGAAAGUGGGCUUGAGCCUUUAACAUUUGAAAGAGUCUCUCUGCCUUGUUCAUUAAAUGCUAUGCUAACCCGUCCAAUAUCCUCUUAAAUCCUUUGUAUGGCAGUUCUAAACGUGCUUUCUCCUGUCGGUUGUUUGUGACCGCAAACGUCCCGUCCAGGGGGGAGGCUCAGGGAGCCCUCCCAUCACCGUGGUCCCUUAGAGCCCUAGGAGGACAUUCUGUUCGGGUUCGCACCACAGCCCCUCCCAUCAAGGGCCCCAGGAAGGAACCUUGAGUCCCCUAGGUCUCAGUACAGAGGGCACACAUGGAGGAGGCACCCUGCUGACGGGGCCCCUGCCCUUGCUCACCAGGUUCUGGCCCCGGAGGUCUGCUCCAGGCCCUCAAAUACGCCAGUCUCUCUCCUGCCUUAAGGCCUUUGCUCGUGCUGGCCCCACGGCCUGUGGCCCAGCCCCCGACCUCUGACCUGUUGGUUCCUUCAUCCUUCGGAGAGCAGCUGAAGCUCCACACUGCAGAGGGCCCCGGAUCUGCUUUAAUCAGGUAAGACACUCAGACACGGAAAUGACUGUCACGAAGAAGGAUGUUUUUUAUACCGAUGUUCCCUAGAAACAAGAGGCAGGACGAGCUCUGCAGGGCCACACGGGGAAGCACCAGUUUGAUCAGGAGGCGGGGGGAACGGGGGGACCAUGGGCAAGGGCCUUCAUCAUGGUUUCCGUGGGAAGCAGAGGGCAAGCCUGGGUCUGCAGGCUCCCCGAGUGCUGGGCUGGAUCCUUCAGGGGACUCUGGGUGUGGGGCUGUCCCUAGUUGUGUGGUCAGGAACAAUUAGAGCAGGUGCUGGGGAUCCUGCGUGUGAGUCACUGUAGAGGAGCUGGUCAGUGGGGCAGGCUCUGGGUUGGCUAGUUUGCAUUUGAAAAGUUCACUCCUGGGGCGAGUUGCUCCUCUCUCUGGGAAUAGGCAGGCCCUCCAGAUGCUAGAGCCUCAGAAUACAGAAAAUAGGACCCGUGGUUACCACAGAAGCCUUCCCAGGGCAACAACGCCUAUUGUGUGUUCUUUCCUUCUUUUAAUUUCAUUGGAGUAUAGUUGAUUUAUGACGUUGUGUUAGUUUCAGGUGUACAGCAAAGAGAUUCAGUCACACAAUGUCUAUUGUAUUUUCUACCGGUUUCCUCCUCUAGAUGCCAGCUCUGGGAAGGGGCCGUGUCUGUCAUUUUUACCCCUGUAUUCCUAGUAUCUAGCAAAUUGUAGAUGCCCAUUAGUUAGUGAAUCAGUGAAUAAGUGGAUGAAAUUAUGUUUGCUUUGGAUCAAUGAAUAAGCGGAUGAAAUUACGUUUGCUUUGGCAGACUCUGAAAUUUUAAGUUCUACUUAACUUAAGCCCCUAAUUGUGCGUGUAAUUUUUUUUUUAAGUGGGACAUACUGGUCUCAGUGGCUGACAGGCCUGAAACAGAGGCGGUUCUUCCCCUGCUGUCACAUCUCCCAAAUGUUCUGACAAAUGUUCCCACCUACAACUUAGUGAUAAAGUGUCACCUGGAGAGGAAACUGGGGGAUGAAGGAGGCAGGUGGGCACACCUGGAGCCCACGUCCUAUUUUCUUACCAACUCCGCCCCCCCCUUUUUUUUUUUUUUUUUUUCCAUUUUUUUUGCUUUGAAAGUAUCAAGAGAGUGGGAAGGUUGCACUUUGGCUAAAAGGAUAUGUUGUCUCCAGCUGACUUGUUUUCUAGACCAGGUCUCUGCUGGGAAGUGAUGUUUGUGCUAAUUCCUGCAGAAUUAACUCCUGACCACAUAACCCUCCAAGUGGCCUAAUGUGUAGCUGGCGUUUCCCAAACAUGGACGGAUUCUCCUUGGCUGCGGAGCCAAGUGAGUGAUUUCUGUGACUGGAAGAAACUGAGGACUCAAAACAGACUCAAUGAAUUUGAUCUCACAGUUUUGAAAAGCCAUACAUGUUGCUCUUUGUAGAGCCGUGUGGAACAUCUAAGGGGCCCCAGAGCCCCAGGGCCCGCUUUCCCAUGGCCCCAUCCCAGGGCUGGCACCCUCCUUCACGGUGAAACUGGCAUCAAGCCUCAAGGGACAGCAACAGCCUCACUGGAAGCCUGGAAACGCCACGGGGCUGCCUUGACAGCGCUGAGCUUCAUCUCCUGGCGAGAGCGUUAGCCCUGGGACUGCAGGUGGGCAAGAUGUUGCUGGAGGAGUUUGGUGACCUUUGAACCAAGUCCCCAUCACCUAGGGCCAUUUGUAGGCAUCCAUGUAUUUGGAAAGAAACAUGGAGAUGCAUGGCCUGAUCCCUGGACCAGCCACAACGUGUCUGAAACCACCUCUGCCCUGCAAAUCCAGGGCUGUGCUCGCCCCAACUGUGUGUCUGCUCUCCAUCGGGGCUCCUGGACCCGGGAGGCUGCCCUCACUAGAGGAAGCUCUGCAGGCGGCAUCUCAGCUCUGACGGAGGGAGGGCCAUCCCAUCAGUGUGUCUCUAGUUCAACGUCAAAGCUCCGGGGUUCUAAGCGUCCCCGUGGUCCUGGGGCAGCUGCCUGUAUCACGCCUGCGUUACACGGUGACUGAAGCCGUCUUGCCACAGCAGGGGGUCGCUAGCAGAGCCCUUGUCCCGUCGCUGCUGUUCGGCCUCAGUGAGAGGACCUGAGCGCUGACAUCCCACGCGCGGACCAGUCUGUGGGGAGAAGAACUGCUGCGCGCAGACCUGGCGGAAGUGCUGCGCGCGCCGCGCGGGCGCAGGACGGCUGCCGAGACUGGCGGGUGCUUUCUGGUAGCCGUCUGUCCACACCCUUCUGUCCUCCUGGGGACUGGCCCUCGAUGCUGCCCUGCACUGUCAAUCACAUUGUGGUGCACCCCCACCCCGCCAAAUCGGAACCGGGCACCUGACCCGGGAUCAGCUGGAAGCAGCAUUUGGUCCUGGAUGAGCCCGUGAUCCAAAUGGUCCAGUCGUCGCCCAGAUUGGUGCGACGUGGCCCCGGUCGCUGUUAAAGAGCCUGUUGGUGACGCCCAGGUGAUAACGGGUAAGAAAGCUUCCAACACCUGCCAAUCAUUAUGACUGGGUCCUUUCAAGGCCUCCAGCUGUUAGGUGCUCCAAAGAAGAGCUUUCCUUGGGAAAGAAUCUUAUUUUUGAGGCAGUUUUAAGAGUAACUAGAUUAACCCAAAGACCUCUACUUGCUUAUUACAGGGAAAUGUAUCCAGAGGAAAGGAACACAUUCCCAUUUCUCCAGAGAGCUCUUCAAGAAAGGAAACCCUCCUUUACCCCCAAACUUUCUGCUAAAUUCCAAGGCAGAGGUGUUUUAAUUAAGUGUGUAAUAAAUACCUAUGGUGGCCAGGACAGUAGUAGGUCAUGUUCGUUAUCCAGCUGCAGAGCCUCUUUUAAGAGCUGCAGGGGAUUGUUUUGUAGAGUUCUGAUUGCUUUUUUCAAAAUUGCUGUAGGCUUUCAUUCCCAUAGUGAUUUGUAUGCAAAUCCUUGCAGGAGGCUGAAAUGCUGUUUGUUUGCUUUUUUAUUGUUUUUUUGUUUGUUUUUGUACACUUUCUUGUUCCAGAAAAGGUUUAUGAUAAUUUAUACAAGAUUAUAAAAGAUAAAAUAAAAACAAAUAAGCGAAGAAAUUGGACCACGGAGGGUGGAAAGCUAAGAUAAAUCUAGGAGUAAGAUUUAUAGGCAGGUAUAAAUAAACCAUAAAUUUAAUUCUGAGCUUAGUAGCAGUUUACACAGAGAGGGAAAUACAAGCAGGUAUAUGUUUGUGUUAAUCAUGCCUUUUUUUUUUAACAUCUGUAUUGGAGUAUAAUUGCUUUACGAUGUAAUCAUACCUUUUUAUUCUGCUGCUUUGACAUCUUGGGGUCUUCAUGACCUUGUGAAGACCCUCCCCCCACCUCCCCACAAGGGCUGGCUAAUUCCUGGAGAUAGUAAACAACUGGCCUUCAAGCACCUUCCGAAUGCAAACCAACCAAUGCUACACCCCAACUACCUCCUCUGGGCCAUAUCCCCCUACCCUAAUCACCCAGGGCCAGGUAGCAGACACCUAGGGACAGCUCCUAUGCCCCAAAGCCCACUGAGAUUAUUCCAACUCAAUUACUCAAAAUCAAAUUAGCCAAUAUUACACCUGCUUCCCCUGCCUCUUCUUGCCUUGCUUGCAGAAACCACAAUAAAGGCUCCUGGCUGAAUUUUCCCCACUCCUUCUGUCUUCUGGCUGACCCUGGUACUUCCCUGUAUGGUCGUGCCUCUUCUUUCUAGGGACUUGUGGGUAUAUACAAAAAUUCUUCCUUCAUGACAGAUAUUUCCAUGUCUGUGUGUCCUACCAUACCUGAGUAAAACAAAUCCCUGGCACAUUCUCCAAUAGUGCUUCAUGGCAUCCAAGAAGAAAAACAAGCCAGUUGCUCAGAAGCACAAUUAUUCAUAAAAGUGAGACCAGAGGUAAUUAUCUUAAAGAGGACAUUGUGCCAUGGUGUAAAGAAGACCUCAAAGGCAAAUCCGCAACAGAAUGCCUUGGUAGCAGUUAGGACACUUUCAGCAGCAAGUGAUAGAAAACUGACUGAAAGAGGAAUAGACACCAAAAGUUCAGAGGUAGGGGGGUUCCACAGAAUUUACAGCUCCAGGAUAGCUUGGUUUCUUUGUGAUUCUUUGGGGUUUUGUUUCGUUUUUUGUUUUUUUGUUUUUUUUGCUUCCCCACUGUACACUUUCUGAGACACAGUAGAUCUGUUUAUUUUAAUGUAGUAAGAAAAUAUUUUGACAUAUUAACUGAUCAUUUUUACUUUUGGUAUUCCUGUCUACCCCGUGGCCUUUCUUUUUAACAUUAGAGGCUAAGUCCAGAGACAAAAAAAUGGAGUCAGAAUCUUAGCCUUGACUCUAAAUAAAAUAGGCUUGUGAAAACCAUAGCAGAGGUAAUGUCUUGAAAACUCAGGAUUUCGACUGACAAGAACCUGGCCUUUGGGGGAGGAUCAAAAAGAUUACAGUGAAGAGCUGAGUGCAUGAUGUUUACCUGGAAAUGACAACUGGAAGAACACCUACCAGCCCAUUCUCUCCACCACAGAGCGAGGGGAGGGAGGCCCUUUCUGGGCUACAGGGAGGAGGGUUUCUCCAAAUUUCGGAGGGUGGGAUAGUAGGGAAGGCUACAGAUGCUGAGAGUCUCCGAGAAGGAACUCUGUGUCAGGCACGCCCAGGCUGACUGAGCCAUGAUAAUGACCCCAUGAUAAGUUGGUAGGACCCCCGAGUACUGGGAUCUGUGCCCUAAGAAAUGGCCAGCGUGGACCAGGGCUCAGAGCAUCAUCUAAGCAGGGUCUGUGCCUGGCCAAGGCUAUGGUUCUCAGGGUAGAUCGGGGAAAGGUCCUGAGACUCCAGGAGGUCCCAGAGGUGCUGAGAGAGCUGGGGGAGCCUUGUGGUUCUGAUGAGGGGGUGUAGCUACUUACAGAACUGGGGAUCUGGCAUCCAGGACCAUAGCAAGGCUGCAGGGGAUGGAGACCCGGAGGGGUUAGGUGGGCAGAGAUGGACUGAGGCCAGCGCCUCGUCCUCCUCACAACUGCAGCACCUACCUGGGUCCCCCAGAGCCUUGACCCAUCCCUAGGGCAGAGCAGGGGAGAAACAUCUGAACUUAAAUCCUGAAAUGGCUCCACAGUCAUUAAUAGAGUUUGUCUGGAAAUACCAAGAUUAUUUUUGCUCUUGGGAGAAAAUAGGGGCUCAAGACAAAAGUAAACAUGAUCAUGGAAAAAUACUGUUUCGUUUUCUCAUGGUUGAGCUCACAGAUCCUAGGGAAGCUCGGUGUGAAGUAUUUUGGUGUUUGGUAAAAUAGUUGUUUCACUCCGGCUAAUACCCAAUUAUUGGUUAUCAGCUGUAGGCAGGGCUCAAAUGAGUCUUAAAUUUUCUCUUUUAUCCUUAUAGGAAAACAGUUUGCCUAUAUUUCCUCAUUUUUAUUAAUUUUCUAUAGUGAACAUUAUUGCUGUGGCAUUUAUUCAUUCAGUAAACACUACUGGAGACUUCUAGGCACCAAAGGCAUCAGGCAUCAGUUUGGCAUGAGAGACAAAAUAUCGGUGACUUGAAUGAGAUAGAAAAGUAUUUCUCUUUCUUAUAAAAUUCUGGGAAUAGACAGUCCAGGACUGGAGUUGUGGCUCCACAACUCCACAAGGUCCUCAUGCACUCAGGACUCUUCUCUUGCCGUGUAUGGUCUCAUUUCACAUAAUCACUUCCUGGUCUAACAUGGCUGCCCAGGUCCAGUCAUCACACCCAUAUUCUGGCUAGUGGGAAGGAGGAAAACGAAGGACAUGCCUAGCUGUCUUCUAUGGAAAGCUCCUGGAGGCUGCCAUGUGAUACUGCUAUUUACAUUUCCUUGGCCGAUUCUUGGUCAAAAUGCA